UACUUGGUUGAUCCUGCCAAGGAAGCACACUUAGGUCAUAGAUUAAGCCAUGCAAGUGUUAGUUCAGGUAACGAAACUGCGAAUAGCUCAUUAAUACGCUCAGAAUCUAUUUGGCGGCGACCAACAGGUCUUAAAUGGAUAGCAGCAGCAACU
rfam:Trichomonas vaginalis G3, whole genome shotgun sequence.